rnacentral:ncRNA from 2 species
CGUCGUAAGCGCGACUGGCGUGGCCGGAGUAACCGGCGUGGAGCGUAGAUCCGUGGCAUCGUCCGCCUGGGUGCCCUCA